rnacentral:rRNA from 1 species
CCUACGGGAGGCAGCAGUGGGGAAUAUUGGUCAAUGGGCGCAAGCCUGAACCAGCAACGCCGCGUGAAGGAAGAAGGCUUUCGGGUUGUAAACUUCUUUUCUCCAGGGCGAAGAAAGUGCCGGUACCUGAGGAAUAAGCCACGGCUAACUACUUGCCAGCAGCCGCGGUAAUACGUAGGUGGCAAGCGUUAUCCGGAUUUAUUGGGUGUAAGGGGCUUGUAGGCGGGAGCGGAAGUCAGAUGUGAAAACUCAGGGCUCAACCCUGAGCCUGCAGUUGAAACUGUGUUUCUGGAGUGCUGGAGAGGUAAGCGGAAUGCCGGGUGUAGCGGUGAAAUGCGUAGAUAUACGGAGGAACACCAGUGGCGAAGGCGGAUUGCUGGACACUAACUGACGCUGAGGCGCGAAAGCGUGGGGAGCAAACAGGAUUAGAUACCCUUGUAGUC